rnacentral:rRNA from 1 species
UAGGGAAUCUUCCACAAUGGACGCAAGUCUGAUGGAGCAACGCCGCGUGAGUGAAGAAGGUUUCGGCUCGUAAAGCUCUGUUGUUAAAGAAGAACACGUAUGAGAGUAACUGUUCAUACGUUGACGGUAUUUAACCAGAAAGUCACGGCUAACUACGUGCCAC